CCUACGUGAGGCAGCAGUGAGGAAUAUUGGUCAAUGGGCGCGAGCCUGAACCAGCCAAGUAGCGUGAAGGAUGACUGCCCUACGGGUUGUAAACUUCUUUUAUAAAGGAAUAAAGUGAGGCACGUGUGCCUUUUUGUAUGUACUUUAUGAAUAAGGAUCGGCUAACUCCGUGCCAGCAGCCGCGGUAAUACGGAGGAUCCGAGCUUUAUCCGGAUUUAUUGGGUUUAAAGUGAGCGUAGAUGGGUUGUUAAGUCAGUUGUGAAAGUUUGCGGCUCAACCGUAAAAUUGCAAUUGAUACUGUCAGUCUUGAGUACAGUUGAGGUAGGCGGAAUUCGUGGUGUAGCGGUGAAAUGCUUAGAUAUCACGAAGAACUCCGAUUGCGAAGGCAGCUUACUAAACUGCCACUGACAUUGAUGCUCGAAAGUGUGGGUAUCAAACAGGAUUAGAUACCCCUGUAGUC
rnacentral:rRNA from 1 species